CCCACAUGAGAAGUGGCAUGUCUCUGUUAGCAACACUGUGAAUUUUACAACUAAAAAACUGAUUUUCAGCAUGCCUAGGCAGUGGAAGCGUAAGACAGACAGGGGUGUCCCUGCAGACAUUCUGUGAAAGGUUGCAAUUGAAGUCACAGGGAAAAUCUGUGAGAUCAGUCGCCAAGGCCCAUUCCAUCUGUCACGUCACACCACUUCUUAAACGAUGGACCACCAGGUAGUGUUGGGUGUGGUAAUGGCUCUGGAUGGAUGCAGGAGGAGGAUUUCCUCAUAUUCCUGGAUCACUUUGUUAAGGAUACAAAGGUAAGUCCUGAGAGGAAGGUGUUACUGUUGUUGGACAAUCACAGUUCUCAUCUUUCAGUUAAGGCAGUCACUUACUGCAAAGAAAAUGGGAUACUGCUCCUUUCUUUCCCACCCCACUGUUGUCAUAAACUACAGCCCCUUGAUCGUCGCGUCUAUGGUCCAUUCAAGAAGUUGAUCAACACAGCCAGUGAUGCAUGAGGAGAAGAAGAGGCAAUCAGAAAUCCUGACAGAUACACCUGUGAAACAGGCACUUGAAGAGGAAGCAAAGAAGAGGGCCAUUAAAAAAAAGUGUAUAAAAAAAAGAAUAACUCUGCCAUCUGCAAAGGGGCAAAAGAACAAAACAAAGCAAACAAGCAAAAGGCCCAAGCCCAAUGAUCAAGAGGAUUCUGAAACCUCAGAUGAUGAGAAUUUCUGCAUUGUGUGCAUGGAACACUUUGCAAACUCGAGGCCAAAAGAAAUGUGGGUCAAGUGUGUAAACUGUCAGUUCUGGGCCCACAAAGCCUGCACUCCAGGAGCAGCCAUCUACAUUUGCCACAAUUGUGACAGUGAUUGAACCUGUGACGCAUGCACAUUCAGGAAUACAGUCCACACACACAAACACACACUCAAACAAACACACACAGAAAUAGUUUUUCAGUUAAUGUAAAGUUUUGAAAAAAUAAAAAGUUUGUCACUUUAAAUUGUUCAGCUUAUUCAAAACAAUAUCUUCUUUAUUCUUUAAUAAAGUUCUUGUAUAAAUUGUA